CCCUUAGAUGUUCUGGGCCGCACGCGCGCUACACUGAUGCAUUCAACGAGUUUUUCCUGGUCCGAGAGGAAUGGGUAACCUUUUGAAAGUGCAUCGUGCUAGGGAUAGACUAUUGCAAUUAUUGGUCUUCAACGAGGAAUUCCUAGUAGACGUAGUUCAUCAGACUGCAUCGAUUACGUCCCUGCCCUUUGUACACACCGCCCGUCGCUCCUACCGAUUGGAUGAUCCGGUGAGCUAUUCGGACCUUCGCUUCGUCGAUUUUCGGCUUUGUGAGGGAACGUCUCGCGAACCUUAUCAUCUAGAGGAAGGAGAAGUCGUAACA
rnacentral:rRNA from 1 species